rnacentral:rRNA from 1 species
CCCUUAGAUGUCCUGGGCUGCACGCGCGCUACACUGAUGCAUUCAACGAGUUUAGAACCUGCGCCGAAAGGUUUGGGUAAUCUUCUAAAACUGCAUCGUGACGGGGAUAGAUUAUUGCAAUUAUUAAUCUUCAACGAGGAAUUCCUAGUAAAUGUGAGUCAUCAGCUCACGUUGAUUACGUCCCUGCCCUUUGUACACACCGCCCGUCGCUCCUACCGAUUGAAUGAUCCGGUGAAAUCUUUGGAGUGGAACUUGGUUGUCACCAUUGGUGCGCCUCGUACUGCGAAGUUGCUUAAACCUUAUCAUUUAGAGGAAGGAGAANUCGUAACA